rnacentral:rRNA from 1 species
ACUGCUCAGUAACACGUGGACAACCUGCCCUUAGGUUGGGUAUAAACCCGGGAAACUGGGUAUAAUACCCGAUAGGUCUCGAUUGCUGGAAUGCAUCGAGAUUUAAAGCUCCGGCGCCUAAGGAUGGGUCUGCGGCCUAUCAGGUAGUAGUGGGUGUAGCGUACCUACUAGCCUACGACGGGUACGGGUUGUGAGAGCAAGAGCCCGGAGAUGGAUUCUGAGACACGAAUCCAGGCCCUACGGGGUGCAGCAGGCGCGAAAACUUUACAAUGCUGGCAACGGCGAUAAGGGAACCUCGAGUGCCAGGUUACAAAUCUGGCUGUCGAGAUGCCUAAAAAGCAUUUCAUAGCAAGGGCCGGGCAAGACCGGUGCCAGCCGCCGCGGUAACACCGGCGGCUCGAGUGGUAACCGUUAUUAUUGGGUCUAAAGGGUCUGUAGCCGGCCGGAUAAGUCUCUUGAGAAAUCUGGCAGCUUAACUGUCAGGCUUUCAGGAGAUACUGUCUGGCUCGAGGCCGGGAGAGGUGAGAGGUACUUCAGGGGUAGGGGUGAAAUCUUGUAAUCCUUGAAGGACCACCAGUGGCGAAGGCGUCUCACCAGAACGGACCUGACGGCAAGGGACGAAAGCUAGGGGCACGAACCGGAUUAGAUACCCGGGUAGUCCUAGCCGUAAACGAUACUCGCUAGGUGUCGGCCACGGUGCGACCGUUGUCGGUGCCGUAGGGAAGCCGUGAAGCGAGCCACCUGGGAAGUACGGCCGCAAGGCUGAAACUUAAAGGAAUUGGCGGGGGAGCAC